rnacentral:lncRNA from 1 species
CCUUUUCCAGGUAGUUUUUUUAAAAAAAAAUCUUUAAUCACAGAAUACAGAAUUUAAAUUGGUUUCUUUCCUUCUCUUCAAACCCCUGAGUCCUUUCACCUUUACACUAGUGGAGACAUAUUCAGAAUAUAAAGUUUUUUUCUCCUUCAAACUAAUUAAAUAAGCUCUGAUGACAUCAGCUGUAUUGGCAGCGCACCUGAUUAAGGGCAUGAUACUAAUUAAAUUCUUGAAUGAUUAGAAAUCCAAAUUGCUAAACUUGAUUCAGCAACAGGCCUUGCUGCCUGGCUCCAGAGCAGCAGAGGAAAUAUCCAGCCUCAUUUCAGGGAUGGUAAAGCUCUCGAGUUUAACACAAUUCUAAUGAGAAAAUAACACUAACUAUAAAUGGCCAAAACUUACCUAUUCACAUGCGGCAACAUUUUCCCUUAUGGAGGCAGCACCUUUCUGGGUGUGAGCUCAUUGAGAAGUGCUGUGACAGGGUAGGGUGAGCCCUGAGCUGUGGAGUCAGAACCAAGUUCAAAGUCUUCCUCUGUUACUUGGGGAAUUUAAUGUAAUUUCUCUGAGCAUGCAUAUAUUCAUCUGUAAUAUGGGAUUUGAUUCUCUAUCUCAAAGGAUUUGAAGGCUGAUUAAAUGAGAUCACCUAUGUGUCAAGAGUUCUAGAAUGCUGAAGGUGUUUAAGAAAUAAAUAUAUCCAUAGACUGGCUCAAAUAAGAUGAAGAAUCUUGACUCUUCAGUCUUCCAACAGAUACUGAAUGCCUACCAUUAAUUUAUUCCUUAAAUUCAGCAAAUAUUUUAUGAAGAACUGCUACAUUUCUGGUGGUAUUCUUAGUGUUCAAAAUAAAUUCAUCCAUCAGUGAAUUGAAAAAGACAAAAAUCCAUUGCAUUGCGGUGGCUACUUGCAUAAUAACCAUAAACAUAAUAAAUAAUUAAAAUUUAUAAGUUAGAUUUAGUAAUAGGUUUUAUGGAAGAAGAACAGAGAGACCUGGAGUCAUGGAGGUGGGGAAAAUAAUAGGUUGCAAUUUAGGGUGUUGAGGGAAGGGUCUAUUGACUAGGUAAAACAUGAGCAAAGCCUUAAAGGAAGUGAGGGAAUUAGCUGUCACCCAGCAGAUGUCUGGAGAAGAUCUGAGUGAGCUUCCAGGACAAAGGUCCCAAGUAGAAUGUACUAGACACCUUCCCAAAACACCACGGAGACCAGCGACUAUGCCAGACCCUGGAUAUAGCAAUGAAUUGAACAGUGAGAAGUGUGUUCAAACUGUGCCUUUAUCACUGGCCUAUUGUAUGAUUUUUAGCUAUUUAAUUUCUCUGUACUUAUAUCCCUUCAUCUACCUAACUAAAUCCAAAUGUCUAUUUCAAAAGAUAAUUCCAAAGUAUUAAAGCAUUCAUUUACCCCAAUCACCUCUGAAGGUAGAGUGUAUAGGUUGUGUUUUAGAAGAAUAAGUAGAAUAGAGAGUAUUGUUUUAUUUCUGCCUGCUUCUCAUCUGUUCACAUGGCAUCACGUAUGCUGAGCCUAUUCCCUUAGUAUGCCAAGAUUGGUGGGGGCAGCGAGGGGACUUGCUGAGAUAGAAGAAUGAUUCUGAGAAGUGAAAAAAGAUAUAACCACAGGAGAGCUAGGCUUAGUAUCUGCUUUAUUCUAGGCAUUUAUUGCAUUGAAAAGAACAAUGCAGAGUGUGGUAAAGAGUUUUUAAUACUGGGAUGACAGCGUUUAUACGUAUAUGAAUGUGUGUAUUGGUGUAUUUUUAUGUGUAGUUUUUCUCAGAAUCAACUGUGCACCAAAGGUGACUCAAACACUUACAGAACUUUUGUCAAACAUUUCCAGUAAAAUGUGGAUUGGAUGCUGAGAGAACAAGGAAGGAUCAUACAUAGUAGUUCCUUCACUGUUUGUAUUCUCAAACUUUUGUCUUGUUGCUGGCUGGAUAUAAGUCAUAUAUGGUGGAAAGCAUAUUGAAUUCAGAAUCAGAAGACCUUGGUUCAACAACUGCCCCUUCAAGAUCUAGCUGUGUGACUUGGGCUUGUCUUAGAAAUCUCCUGAGCUUUAUUAUCCUCACCUACAUAAUGACAAUUUACCUCUAUGUUGUCUGCUUCCCCAAUGCCAAGGGUCAAAUGAAGAAAUGCAUUUGAAAUCAUUUGGUAAACUAUAGAAGUAAACCCAAGGUAAGGUGAGGGGUCAGAGUUGAAGAAAGAGGCUGAUGGAAACUAGGGGAUGGUCAGUUGUCUGUUGUAAUAAGAAUGGCUUUGGUAUUUCUCCACAGAAUAGAUGGAUGGUGCUAAUUUAUGCACCUUAGUUAAUUUUGUUUUGCUGGGGGCUUAGAUGAGACUCCCUGAUGGAUGCACCAUUCAUUAUAUAGUCAAGGAAAGCACCUGGUUUAAUAAAAGUGAUCCUUCCAGAGUGGAGACUGGAGGAGAUGGACUCUUGAGAAACGCAUAUUUGGCUAUUUCAAAGUCAUCUGCUCAUAGAACUUCUGCCGCAACCUGGGAAGUAGGAUGUAUAAAGGAAACUCUUUUUUCUUUGACACUGUUGGGUUCAUUUUAAGCAUCUAGGUUUUACCUGCAAGGCAUGUAGGGAUAUACUGUAGUAACAAAAUGGUAACUGUGGGUGCUGGGCCCUUCUUUCCAAGCACUGAGACUAUCUGGGCUGAGAGUGAGAAGGAAGACAGUGACAUCCUCCUCCAUAGAGGAAAACACUUAGGAGUCAAAUUGAAGGCAAGUUCUUGGGGGGAAAGAGAGUUAUUCAGACAAACAGCAGCAACAUAGUGUAUAAGAUGAUGUGCAUUUGGUUAGAACAUAAAGCAGAAAUUGGUAGAGAAACAUCACCAAAUCUUAAGAAUUGUUGGAUCUGAUUGUGAACAUUAUGAAGGUGAACCUUUGCACCUAUGGAUUAGUCUCACUCUGAAAUGUAAGCUUCUUCAAAAUAGAAGCAAGGUUUUUACAUAUUUUCUCUUUCCAGGGCUAACUCCAGUGCCUGGCAUUCCACAAUCACUCAGUCUGUAUAACUGAAUGGAAUGGUGGCACUGGCAUUGUGGACACAGCCAGGCUGCCUAGGGAAGGAAAGUUAUCCCUGGGUUUUCUGUGGGUAACUCACCUCAAUGUCCUAUAAUUCUUAAGAUAUGGUAGAAAUUUUACUUGGUGAAAAUAUUUAUCUUCUUUGGUACCCAUUCACCAGCCUGGGCUAGAUAUGGACCAGGAUGCAAGCACAUUGUGAUCUCUUUGUAUAAGACUGAGAUUCUCAGUCAUGUUUGGUAGUUCUGGAGUUCUUGAAAUGGCUUAAAGAUAUUGAUAAUUGAGGUAUCAAAGAUUGGAAAUUUCUAUAGUAGUAACAGGUGUUAAAUGUUUUAUAACUUUAAAAAAAUGUUUCCAUUCUCUUAAUGCAUGCAUUAUUUGGCUAUGCCAUAAAGUCCCUAGAUUUUAUAAUGACUGUUUGGAUAUAUGAAACUCUAUAAAUAACCCCAUCCUCCUGGGAGUGUUCUGUGGCAACUAUACUACAUUUCACUUCCUAGAUCUUCCUCUCAAAACUUCCAUAUAUUAUUUCAAUUAGUUUUAGUUAUGAUUUGUUUAUCAACAGUGAAGUUCCUUGCUUUGACUACAGUAUAAGAUGUUUUUCUGACUUAAUUUGCUCUUAAGUUUUGUACUUUUCUAAUAACAGAAGACAUAUGCAACUUUUCUCUGUACCUCAACAUCAGGUGUUCUAAAAUGCGAAAUUGUUUACUGGAAGAUUUGAUGCCAAUUCCAUGUUCAUAUCUUACAUAAGAUUUUAUUUUUAAAAAAAUAUUUUGCACGAAUUUUAGUUAAUAUUAGUUUAUCACUGAUCUUCAUAUAGAAUCUCCCCAAUUCUUUCCAACUUGCCCCAGUCAUAGAAUUAUAAUUUCCCAUGUGUCAGGGAGUGGAAAAGGUAGUUCAAUGCUGCUAUAAAUUUUCCUUGUUGAAAUUUUUCACCCUGGGAGACCAGAUAUAAAUGGAAAGAAUGUUAAUCUCAGUGGAAGAGAUUUGUUAGAGGAAUCCAGGAUGUUUCUAUUUUCAUUUUUAAAGCUCCAUUUGCUAACAUAUUGAGAUAAAGAGGGCUCGCUCCGUUUUUGUGAAAAGUAUUUCAUAAUGAUGGGCUCUGUCUGAUGGGAUUGGAUGGGUCUCUGCAGAGUGCUGCCUUCCCAGCUGAAUCACCUUCCCUUCCUCCAGGAGAGAAGGGGUAGAAGGAGCCAGCAGGAACUGAAAAGGAGAAGUGUGCCCAGGGUGCUGUGGGAACACGAUAAAGGACCCCUCAUCCAAGCUGUGCAGGUAGGGAAGGCUUCCAGGAGGAGGUAGUGCUUGUGCUGAGUCUUACCACAGGGUGAGGAUGUCCACAUGAACACAGACUCAGUGCGUUCCAUAAGAGGGGACAGCGAGGUUGGCAGAUGUGCAACCCUCUUCAGGCCACAGGAAAUCCUUUCAGCCCUUCUCAGUUGAGUCAUCUGGAAAAAGCUGCUGUCCUAUAGAACCUGUCUUACAGUCUUGGUGGGCAAAGGGAGCUCAGUUUUCUCUCAUGGUGGGCUCCUCAUCUUGUUGAAACACCUUCAUGUAGAUUUCGAAGGGAACAGGGGAUGGGGAGAAUCCUGCUUUUCCAUACAUCCAAGGAUCAUUGUCCUUGAAGCAGCCUUUCUGCCAACAUUCAGGGCGCUGCAGAACUGGACACCUUUGAUGCUUCGGAUUCCAUGUAUCUGGGAGCUGCCUGGGGUGCCAGGCAGCCUGGACCAAGAGCUCUGCAUGCCAUCUAGGUUACCACUGAGAGGAGUGCUGGGACCAUUCAGCUCUCUCACAGCAGCUGCGGUUUGAAUUACCACAGAUUAUUUUACUCAGCCCCAGUGUACAGAUGGGAAAAUUGAGGCUAACAUGCAUGGAGCCACUUUCUAGAUCCUGGGGAAUAACUUAUUCUUCAUUAUUUUAGCUUCUUACUUCAGUGCUGCAGCAACUGCUUUGCUGGAGUGGGAACCUCCAAGAGGGAUUUUUUUUUUCCCGGAGACAGCUACUUGUUAGAAAUGGCCUGUUUUCAUUGGAUACCCUACCCAUUGGCUCACAGUGAUGGAGGUCGGGGUUCCCACCUGCCCCAGGGAGAUCAUUCAGUCCCAGCCAUGGCAGCUCGUGUCCUCAAGGCCCUUGGCCAUCAACAGAGAGAGGAAUCUGGGGCAAACAAAGCAAGGAGCGGUGGUGGCUGCAGACCUGAGCUUUCUGUGCCCACUUGCGGGGGGGGAGGCAGCAGAGUCUGUGCCAGGAGCUAUGCAACUUCUGUACCCCCUUCCCAGGCCCCUCAGCUCAUCUGCUGGCUCUCAGAACUCAGGCGUCCUGAAUGGGUCUUUGUGUGUACCCCAGGAGCUGGCUCAGAAGAGCCCUGAUGGAAAUGCUGGCCAGCGAUGUCUCCUCUGCAUCCAGGCGCAGACAGGCUUGGUGCCCAUCUUGUGGGAGGCACGGCUUUUCUGUGCUGCUUCACCCCUUGGGGUUGGGAGCGAGCAGGACCCUGAUGAAUGGGAGAAAUGUUUUGCAGCCCUGUUUGGUGAGGUUUCAGGCAGCAGGGCCCGGGGAAUGACAACUCCUCAGUCCCUUCCCCGGGCCUCUCUUUCCCACUCUCUGGGCUACUUUUUUUUUUUUUUUCCUGAGGUAGGUUUUCACUUAAGACCCUGUAUAUCCCAGGCUGUGCUCAAACUUGCCGUUCUUCUUCCUCACCCUGCCAGAUUACAGGUGUGCACCACCACACCCAGCUUCAGCUGACUUUGCCCCCAGUGAUGACUGGGGUAAUAUUCAUAACAGGACCUGCCAUUCCAUUCCGUGGCCACCCCCUAGGUGCCUAAUCCUAUUUAAUUAAACCUUUCAGGUGUCCUGUGAAAUAUUUUAUCUCACAAUCCUCAUUUCACAGGUGAAAAAACCAAGACAUAGGAAUGGUAAGCAUCCCAAGUAGUUCUGAACAGGAGGCUGCACACAGAUGGGUGGAUCUCUGCCCUGAUCUCACCUUCCCAGGUUUCCAGGAGUCUCUUGCCAAACACUGAAGUCCUAGGCCACUUGUGCAGUCAGCUACCUGAGAAAUCCCCCAUGUUCCAGGGGCUGGUGCUGAAAAAAGACCCAGACUUGUGGCCUUCUGGGGUCUCAUUCUGUUUACAUCACCACCCCUUUGUGCUCUGUUUCUCUCCUUCUUUUUUAAUCUUCUUUUUAAAUCAUUUUAUAUGAUAGAAGAAACUGGAGAUAUAGAAGGAAAAUAUUACAGUACAACUAAAUAUUGAAAAUUUUGUUCAAGACCUUCACCCCCAACCCCUGGAAACAGAGUGGUUUAAAGAGACAAGCCCCACGCAGUAGCCAGAGUACAGGAUGCUUUGGGGCGUGGGUGACCCCGCCUCUGUGACCAACUGCACUUACUGCCCACCACAGUCCUCCUUUGUCAAUGCUGGGAUGAGGAUUAAUCCCCACGUCUGACUCUGAGACUUGCUGUAGUCAGGCUGGAGAGCAGGCAGGGAUCUUGCUUUUACUCUUUUCUUAGGAGAUAGAUGCAGUGAUGACAAUGGCAUUGGCGCCUAUCCACCUGGCUUCUCUUAGGGUGACAGGACUCUCUCUGCAGAGGUGUAAUGGUUGGUCUCUAAUGUAGAGAAGUGCAGUGGCCCUUUUGGGAAACAGAAAUGUUAGCCAUGGCUUUUAGAACAGCUCUGUCAGCUGAGCCAAUGGCCAUCUGUGAAGGGCUAUAUUUUUCUAUUUGCAAAAUAGGUUAUGAAAAAUCUAUGGUAAACAAAGAGAGACAGCAGAAGAAACAUAACGAGAAGUUCUAGCUAUGUGAUAUGGUGAGAUAUCAGGCAAAAUUGUAAAUUGCCUGCCAAGGCCUUCUUUUGUCUUACCAGUUCUUUUCUUUUUUAAGAAAAGUUAGCUUCUCAUCUCUCUAGACCUUUUCCCAUCUCUGUAUAGUUUAUAGUCUAUACUCUUCUGGAAACAGAAGACUCAAUAUUAACUAUCAUAGACCUCAUGUGGAGGGAGAUUCUUUUUUAUUUUUUAAAAAAGUCUGGUGUUGGGGAUCAAACCCAGGCCCUUGCACAUGCCAAGCAAGUGCCCUACCACUGUGCUACAGCCCUGAUAGAUUCAUCUUUAACAUACAAUAAAAAGAAACUCUGGAACUGGAAUCCUCAGUUAUGCAUGGUAUAGUGUGUUCUUUCCUUCCAUGUGAUGAGUUACUGUCUAUUCUUAGCCACUAUCACUUUCAGCUAAAGAGAUGGUAAUGUCAUAAUGAUGGAUAUAAGAAUUGAGUAGUCAUUCUAUGUGUUAUUCUCCAAGCUGGUUUCUAUAAUCAUCUUGCAGCUCUCUCAUAUCCAAGGGUCUCUGAGUAUGUUUCUCCAUUAAAUUAUUGCCUUCAUCAUGGGUUAUUAUUGCAAUCUAAUUGUGGUGAUAUGUAAUCAAUGCUUAUACUUUGAGUAACUGAAGCAUAAGUGGAAGCAGAGAAAUGCCCAUCAUAAUCAAGAUAGUCAUCUGUAGAUGACUAAGGUCCUGAAGAUGUAGGAUGUUGAACAAACAAGAGCCACGUACAACCAUUAGAUUACCUUUCAGUUUCAGCCCUUCUCAACUCAGUAUGCUGUCAGUCUCUGGUACUUAUUCUUGGGAGUCACUUGUUUCUUUUUUUAUGUUGCUAGUCACAUUUCUGAGAAUAGAGCUCACCAUUAAAACAAAUAAUAGUUAAAGAUGGCAGAAUUAGAAGGCUUUGUGGGUAAUGCAGGAUGGACACUUUAAAGGACUUUUUGAUUUUAACAAGGAGAAUAUAUAAGAGGGAAAACACUUUUGGAUAGGACAGUGAAAUUUACCUCUGGUGUGUGGGCUCCUUGAAGUCUUGGUAACUUUCCAGGUCUAAGUCUUUUAUUCAUAGGGUGACAUGCUAGUUAUUUAGCGAGUUUAGUCUGUGAAUAGAGAUGUCCACAUACUUACUGCUCAGCAGGCAAUGUAGAAUCACUUUUUUGGACUGUGACCAGGGGACAAUAGAGUAUUACCAAAAAUUUUCAAACAGAAGAGGAACAUUAUCAGAAGCAUCCAUUUAGAAGACCAAGUAAAAGUCACAUAUAAAAUGGGUUACAGUUGGUAGGUACUAAUCUGGAAAAACCAACUGGAAGAUAUAUAGUUAUAGUCCAGUAGAAAAAAAGAGAACUUUCUCAAGGAUAACUGCAGCAGCAACAAAAGAAAGGGACCAAUUCAAGAAGUAUAAUGGAGAAAGAAUGGGGAGAGCUUGGCAACUCAGCAGCUAUAAAGGAAGAGAAUGCAUGAGGGAGGAAUACCUAUGAUAUAGUCACUAUCUGAUUGGGUAUUUGUCUAAUGGUCAAUGGAAGCAGCUGAACUUUCUGCAUUUUCUUGCUGAGAAAGAAGGGGGAAACAGUGGCCUGUUAGCUGUGAAAACUUAAAGCCAUCAUUAUAGGUGGAGUAUGAACCUGACACAGGAUGAGUCAGUAUCAGAAAUAGGGUGGUGGACACAAGUUUGAGAGAUGGGGCCCCUCUUCUACUCCGACUCUUAAUGAUUAUGGUAUUUGUUAUGUAUAUUGCUUUUGGUGAGUGGGGCUCUCUGUACACAGAAGGGAGGAGGAUUCCCCAAAUAAUUAGAAAGCAAAAAAUAUCUAACAAAGUACCAUAGCAAUAUCCUGCCCAAUCACCAGAAUUGGGUGAUUUUCAGUGUUCUGAAUCAGUUCCCAUCCUCCCUCUUCAUGUCACCAUUUCCCUAUCCAUAACAUCAAGUCUCUGGUACCAGAUUUCCUCAGAUUUAACAGUAAAAUGGGAACUGAUUUUUUUUUAUUAAGUUCUGAGUUCAUUGCUGUCAUGCCACCCAAAGACAGUAAAGCAAGUAGGCUUUUGGAAGUCUAGUAGAGAUGGCAUCUUUUGGCCUUUAAGAUGAACAAUUUUAACGUGGGACCAUGGUGCUUGUUCAUUGGCAUAUCUCUGUGUGCCUCUCAGACUUGAUAGUUCUGAAAUCAUGCAAAGAAAAAUAUUUUGAUAAAUGAAGUCCAGCUAACUAAAAUUUUCUUUAAUGAUCAACCUGGGCCCAAGAUCUGUCUUCUUUUAUUAUGUAGGUUAGUCCUUGGCCAAAAACCUAUGAAAUGCUCUAAAGAUGAGCAGCUCUUGAAGGUCCAGCUGUAUCUUUAAUGAAAAUGAAAAAUGACUGUUUUCAUAACUCCAUUUAGUUUCCCACUCUGAAGAUUGCUUUUAGAUUGAUAGUUAUUCCCUUCUUGAUAUAGAAAUACAG